GGGGCGGGAUCACCCGAGGGGAACCCGAGUUCUAAGUUCCGCUCUGCCUUCUAAACUACAACUCCCAGGAAGCAUUGAGGCGAUGUCUGACGGCCACAUCUGCUGCUCCUCAUUGGUCCGGCGGCAGGGGAGAGGGUUUUGAUUGGCUGAGGGUGGAGUUUGUAUCUGCAGGUUUAGCGCCACUGCAGGCUGAGGCUGUGGAGAGUGUGCGGCUCCAGGUGGGCUCACGCGGUCGUGAUGUCUCGGGAGUCGGAUGUUGAGGCUCAGCAGUCCCAUGGCAGCAGUACCUGUUCACAGCCCCAUGGCAGCGUUACCCAGUCCCAGGGUUCCUCCUCACAGUCCCAGGGCAUAUCCAGCUCCUCUACCAGCACGAUGCCAAACUCCAGCCAGUCCUCUCACUCCAGCUCUGGGACACUGAGCUCCUUAGAGACAGUGUCCACUCAGGAACUCUAUUCUAUUCCUGAGGACCAAGAACCUGAGGACCAAGAACCUGAGGAGCCUGCCCCUGCCCCCUGGGCUCGAUUAUGGGCCCUUCAGGAUGGAUUUGCCAAUCUUGAAUGUGUGAAUGACAACUACUGGUUUGGGAGGGACAAAAGCUGUGAAUAUUGCUUUGAUGAACCACUGCUGAAAAGAACAGAUAAAUACCGGACAUAUAGCAAGAAACACUUUCGGAUUUUCAGGGAAGUGGGUCCUAAAAACUCUUACAUUGCAUACAUAGAAGAUCACAGUGGCAAUGGAACCUUUGUAAAUACAGAGCUUGUAGGGAAAGGAAAACGCCGUCCUUUGAAUAACAAUUCUGAAAUUGCACUUUCACUAAGCAGAAAUAAAGUUUUUGUCUUUUUUGAUCUGACUGUAGAUGAUCAGUCAGUUUAUCCUAAGGCAUUAAGAGAUGAAUACAUCAUGUCAAAAACUCUUGGAAGUGGUGCCUGUGGAGAGGUAAAGCUGGCUUUCGAGAGGAAAACAUGUAAGAAAGUAGCCAUAAAGAUCAUCAGCAAAAGGAAGUUUGCUAUUGGUUCAGCAAGAGAGACAGACCCAGCUCUCAAUGUUGAAACAGAAAUAGAAAUUUUGAAAAAGCUAAAUCAUCCUUGCAUCAUCAAGAUUAAAAACUUUUUUGAUGCAGAAGAUUAUUAUAUUGUUUUGGAAUUGAUGGAAGGGGGAGAGCUGUUUGACAAAGUGGUGGGGAAUAAACGCCUGAAAGAAGCUACUUGCAAGCUCUAUUUUUACCAGAUGCUCUUGGCUGUACAGUACCUUCAUGAAAACGGUAUUAUACACCGUGACUUAAAGCCAGAGAAUGUUUUACUGUCAUCUCAAGAAGAGGACUGUCUUAUAAAGAUUACUGAUUUUGGGCACUCCAAAAUUUUGGGGGAGACCUCUCUCAUGAGAACCUUAUGUGGAACCCCCACCUACUUGGCUCCUGAAGUUCUUGUUUCUGUUGGGACUGCUGGAUAUAACCGUGCUGUGGACUGCUGGAGUUUAGGAGUUAUUCUUUUUAUCUGCCUUAGUGGGUAUCCACCUUUCUCUGAGCAUAGGACUCAAGUGUCACUGAAGGAUCAGAUCACCAGUGGAAAAUACAACUUCAUUCCUGAAGUCUGGGCAGAGGUCUCAGAGAAGGGUAUGAAUACGAAAGGGUUAAGAAUUUGUGGUAUGCUAAAAUGUGUAUGUGCUGUGGUGGGAGUUUCUUUCCAAAUUCCAUGGUGUUUUCUCCUGUCAAUUCUGUUCUUAUUUUCUGUUGUUAGUUUCACACCAUUUGAGAGGCACUGGAAAUUAUUAAGAGUGUGCACUCAGGUCCUGGGUCUGCUACUACUUAGCUGUGUGGCCUUAGGCAAGUUAUUUAACCUCUGUCUCCAAUUUCUUUCUGUGUAAAGGGACCCUCAAUAAUCCCUACCUUAAAAGGUUUUUGUAAGGGUUAAGUAUAAUGUACACAAGUGCCUGGUACCUAUUUUAGUGCCCAAAAAAAGUGCACUUGUAACUUUUUAGUUACAGGGUUUCCUUUGAGUAAGCAAGCAUGUAAAAAUGAUGUCAUUAGUUAUCUUGUAUUUUAUAAUUUAUCCUGGCAACUUUAGUUCCCCAAAGAGAAAGUAGAAAAUUAAAUGUCAAAUAAUAUAACAUAGGCGAUUGUGUUAAAUGUCAGAAUAUUUAAGGAAUAAUAGUGUUGUAAUAUACAAGCCAGCGUGCAUUUGUUGCUUGCUGGAGUAGUCAAGUUUUAUUUCUGACAAGUCUGCAGUUCUCUCCCUGGCUAAGUAACUCUCACCCAUCCAUCUGUAGAUGUCAGGGAGAGUUUGCUACGUAUCCCAAGUAUCUUAGAAUUGGGUGGAAGUUUAGCUUUAAUUAGUUUGACCUUGAGUCAACAGGCAACAAGAGAGGGAACAGGCAGCGAAAGAGGUGGUGACUGACAUCCCAACAGCAGGAGACAGGGAGUAUCAUUAUCAUUCCUGGUCUUCUCAUAGUACUCUGAAUACAGAGAGUGAGGAAGAUUAGGGGGCCCUGUCUGCUGACUGUGAUGAUCUCAGACCCUCUCUGCUCUUUCUGGAUGGUGGCCUAUUAAUUCUGGCAUACUAUUACGAUUUAAUAUAUUUAUCCUUUUCACUGUGAUUUGCCCAAUUGUUGCUUUAGCUCUGGACCUUGUCAAGAAGUUGUUGGUAGUGGAUCCAAAGGCACGUUUUACGACAGAAGAAGCCUUAAGACACCCGUGGCUUCAGGAUGAAGACAUGAAGAGAAAGUUUCAAGAUCUG